AGGAAAUGUACUUUUAGAAUAUGGUUUCUCAUUUUUUGUGGACAUGACCUUAAAAACAUGCCCACUAGGUUUAUUCUGGGCUACAUUGGUACCAUUCAGCAUUGUGGGAACAUCU
rnacentral:snoRNA from 1 species